rnacentral:rRNA from 1 species
GUGACGAAGCGACGCCGCGUGUGGGAAGAAGGCCUUCGGGUUGUAAACCACUGUCAGGAGUUAAGAAAUGCAAGGGUGUAAAUAGCAUCCUUGCUUGACUAAGGCUCCAGAGGAAGCCACGGCCAACUCUGUGCCAGCAGCCGCGGUAAUACAGAGGUGGCAAGCGUUGUUCGGAAUUAUUGGGCGUAAAGAGCACGUAGGCGGCUCUGCAAGUCAGCUGUGAAAGCCUUCUGCUUAACGGAAGAACAGCAGUUGAUACUACAGAGCUUGAGUGUGGGAGGGGAGAGUGGAACUUCUGGUGGAGCGGUGAAAUGCGUAGAUAUCAGAAGGAACGCCGGCGGCGAAAGCGACUCUCUGGCCCGUAACUGACGCUGAGUGUGCGAAAGCUAGGGGAGCAAACGGGAUUAGAUACCCCGGUAGUCCUAGCCGUAAACGAU